rnacentral:rRNA from 1 species
UGGGGAAUAUUGGACAAUGGGCGAAAGCCUGAUCCAGCCAUGCCGCGUGUGUGAAGAAGGUCUUCGGCUUGUAAAGCACUUUAAGUUGGGAGGAAGGGCAUUAACCUAAUACGUUAGUGUUUUGACGUUACCGACAGAAUAAGCACCGGCUAACUCUGUGCCAGCAGCCGCGGUAAUACAGAGGGUGCAAGCGUUAAUCGGAAUUACUGGGCGUAAAGCGCGCGUAGGUGGUUUGUUAAGUUGGAUGUGAAAUCCCCGGGCUCAACCUGGGAACUGCAUUCAAAACUGACUGACUAGAGUAUGGUAGAGGGUGGUGGAAUUUCCUGUGUAGCGGUGAAAUGCGUAGAUAUAGGAAGGAACACCAGUGGCGAAGGCGACCACCUGGACUAAUACUGACACUGAGGUGCGAAAGCGUGGGGAGCAAACA